UUGAUCCUUCGGGUGAAGGUGGCGGACGGGUGAAGUAACGCGUAAAGAACUUGCCUUACAGACUGGGACAACAUUUGGAAACGAAUGCUAAUACCGGAUAUUAUGACUGAGUCGCAUGAUUUGGUUAUGAAAGCUAUAUGCGCUGUGAGAGAGCUUUGCGUCCCAUUAGUUAGUUGGUGAGGUAACGGCUCACCAAGACGAUGAUGGGUAGCCGGCCUGAAGGGUGAACGGCACAAGGGGACUGAACACGGCCCUUACUCCUACGGGAGGCAGCAGUGGGGAAUAUUGGACAAUGGACCAAAAGUCUGAUCCAGCAAUUCUGUGUGCACGAUGAAGUUUUCGGAAUGUAAAGUGCUUUCAGUUGGGAAGAAGUCAGUGACGGUACCAACAGAAGAAGCGACGGCUAAAUACGUGCCAGCAGCCGCGGUAAUACGUAUGUCGCAAGCGUUAUCCGGAUUUAUUGGGCGUAAAGCGCGUCUAGGCGGUUUAGUAAGUCUGAUGUGAAAAUGCGGGGCUCAACCCCGUAUUGCGUUGGAAACUGCUAAACUAGAGUACUGGAGAGGUAGGCGGAACUACAAGUGUAGAGGUGAAAUUCGUAGAUAUUUGUAGGAAUNGCCGAUCGGGGAAGCCAGCCUACUGGACAGAUACUGACGUAAAGCGCGAAAGCGUGGGUAG
rnacentral:rRNA from 1 species